CAGUCGCCACGGUAAUACAGAGGGUGCAAGCGUUAAUCGGAUUUACUGGGCGUAAAGGGCGCGUAGGUGGUUAUGUAAGUGAGAUGUGAAAUCCCCGGGCUCAACCUGGGAACUGCAUCUUAUACUGCGUAGCUGGAGUGCAGUAGAGGGUAGUGGAAUUUCCGGUGUAGCGGUGAAAUUCGUAGAUAUUGGGAAGAACACCGGUGGCGAAGGCGGCAACCUGGUCCUUGACUGACGCUGAGGCGCGAAAGCGUGGGGAGCAAACAGGAUUAGAUACCCCCGUAGUCCCUGUCUCUUAUAC
rnacentral:rRNA from 1 species